UACGAAGGGGCGUAGCGUUGCUCGGAAUCACUGGGCGGUAAAGACGCACGUAGGCGGCUUCUUAAGUCAGGGGUGAAAUCCUGGAGCUCAACUCCAGAACUGCCUUUGAUACUGAAGAUCUUGAGUUCGGGAGAGGUGAGUGGAACUGCGAGUGUAGAGGUGAAAUUCGUAGAUAUUCGCAAGAACACCAGUGGCGAAAGGCGGCUCACU
rnacentral:rRNA from 1 species